rnacentral:rRNA from 1 species
AUUGAACGCUGGCGGCAUGCCUUACACAUGCAAGUCGAACGGUAACAGGUCUUCGGAUGCUGACGAGUGGCGAACGGGUGGGUAAUACAUAGGAACGUGCCCGAUCGUGGGGGAUAAGGCAGCGAAAGCUGUGCUAAUACCGCAUACGAUAUACGGACGAAAGCGGGGGAUGGGAAGACCUCGCGCGGACGGAUCGGCCGAUGGCCGUGUAGGUAGUUGGUGGGAUAAGAGCUUACCAAGCCGACGAUCUGUAGCUGGUCUGAGAGGACGACCAGCCGCACUGGGACGUAGACACGGCCCAGACUCCUGCGAGAGGCAGCAGUGUGGAAUUUUGGACAAUGGGCGCAAGCCUUGUCCAGCCAUGCCGCGUGCAGGAUGAAGGCCUUCGGGUUGUAAACUGCUUUUGUACGGAACGAAAAAGCUCUCUCUAAUACAGGGGGUGAAUGACGGUACCGUAAGAAUAAGCACCGGCUAACUACGUG